rnacentral:rRNA from 1 species
AGAGUUUGAUCCUGGCUCAGAUUGAACGCUGGCGGCAUGCCUUACACAUGCAAGUCGAACGGUAACAGGUCUUCGGAUGCUGACGAGUGGCGAACGGGUGAGUAAUACAUCGGAACGUGCCCGAGAGUGGGGGAUAACGGAGCGAAAGCUUUGCUAAUACCGCAUACGAUCUACGGAUGAAAGCAGGGGACCGCAAGGCCUUACGCUCAUGGAGCGGCCGAUGGCAGAUUAGGUAGUUGGUGGGAUAAAAGCUUACCAAGCCGACGAUCUGUAGCUGGUCUGAGAGGACGACCAGCCACACUGGGACUGAGACACGGCCCAGACUCCUACGGGAGGCAGCAGUGGGGAAUUUUGGACAAUGGGCGCAAGCCUGAUCCAGCCAUGCCGCGUGCAGGAUGAAGGCCUU